rnacentral:rRNA from 1 species
AAUGAACGUUGGCGGCGUGGAUUAGGCAUGCAAGUCGAGCGAGAACCCGCAAGGGGGACAGCGGCGAACGGGGUAGGAAUACGUAGGUAACGUACCCUCGGGGCGAGGACAGCCACGGGAAACUGUGGUUAAUACUCGAUAAACUUCCCAAUCAUUAUGGAAGGGGAAGCAAUGGGUGUGAUUCCACCUGAGGAGCGGCUUACGCAGUAUCAGCUAGUUGGUGAGGUAACGGCUCACCAAGGCUAACGACGCUUAGGGGGUGUGAGAGCAUGGCCCCACCACUGGCACUGAGACACUGGCCAGACACCUACGGGUGGCUGCAGUCGAGAAUCUUCGGCAAUGGACGCAAGUCUGACCGAGCGACGCCGCGUGUGGGAUGAAGGCC